rnacentral:tRNA from 1 species
GCGGAGGUUGCCAAGCCAGGUCAAAGGCGCUGGGUUUAGGUCCCAGUCUCGUAGGAGUUCACGAGUUCAAAUCUCGUCCUCCGCACCA